rnacentral:rRNA from 1 species
AGUGAACGCUGGCGGUAGGCCUAACACAUGCAAGUCGAACGGCAGCGCAGUAAGAGCUUGCUCUUACGGGUGGCGAGUGGCGGACGGGUGAGGAAUACAUCGGAAUCUACUUUUUCGUGGGGGAUAACGUAGGGAAACUUACGCUCAUACCGCAUACGACCUACGGGUGAAAGCAGGGGAUCUUCGGACCUUGCGCGAUUGAAUGAGCCGAUGUCGGAUUAGCUAGUUGGCGGGGUAAAGGCCCACCAAGGCGACGAUCCGUAGCUGGUCUGAGAGGAUGAUCAGCCACACUGGAGCGGAGACACGGUCCAGACUCCUACGGGAGGCAGCAGUGGGGAAUAUUGGACAAUGGGCGCAAGCCUGAUCCAGCCAUACCGCGUGGGUGAAGAAGGCCUUCGGGUUGUAAAGCCCUUUUGUUGGGAAAGAAAAGCAGCAGGUUAAUACCCCGCUGUUCUGACGGUACCCAAAGAAUAAGCACCGGCUAACUUCGUG